ACGAACGCUGGCGGCGUGCUUAACACAUGCAGGUCGAACGGAAAGGCCCUGCUUUUGUGGGGUGCUCGAGUGGCGAACGGGUGAGUAACACGUGAGUAACCUGCCCUUGACUUUGGGAUAACUUCAGGAAACUGGGGCUAAUACCGGAUAGGAGCUCCUGCUGCAUGGUGGGGGUUGGAAAGUUUCGGCGGUUGGGGAUGGACUCGCGGCUUAUCAGCUUGUUGGUGGGGUAGUGGCUUACCAAGGCUUUGACGGGUAGCCGGCCUGAGAGGGUGACCGGCCACAUUGGGACGGAGAUACGGCCCAGACUCCUACGGGAGGCAGCAGUGGGGAAUAUUGCACAAUGGGCGGAAGCCUGAUGCAGCAACGCCGCGUGCGGGAUGACGGCCUUCGGGUUGUAAACCGCUUUCGCCUGUGACGAAGCGUGAGUGACGGUAAUGGGUAAAGAAGCACCGGCUAACUACGUG
rnacentral:rRNA from 1 species